rnacentral:rRNA from 1 species
CCUACGGGAGGCAGCAGUGGGGAAUAUUGCACAAUGGGGGAAACCCUGAUGCAGCGACGCCGCGUGAGUGAAGAAGUAAUUCGUUAUGUAAAGCUCUAUCAGCAGGGAAGAAAAUGACGUUACCUGAGUAAGAAGCCCCGGCUAACUACGUGCCAGCAGCCGCGGUAAUACGUAGGGGGCAAGCGUUAUCCGGAUUUACUGGGUGGAAAGGGAGCGUAGACGGCAGUGUAAGUCUGGAGUGAAAGCCGGGGGCUCAACCCCGGGACUGCUCUGGAAACUGUGCGGCUGGAGUGCAGGAGAGGUAAGCGGAAUUCCUGGUGUAGCGGUGAAAUGCGUAGAUAUUAGGAGGAACACCAGUGGCGAAGGCGGCUUACUGGACUGUAACUGACGUUGAGGCUCGAAAGCGUGGGGAGCAAACAGGAUUAGAUACCCUUGUAGUC